rnacentral:sRNA from 1 species
AGGUUUCCGUAGGUGAACCUGCGGAAGGAUCAUUACCGAGUGAGGGCCCUCUGGGUCCAACCUCCCACCCGUGUUUAUUUUACCUUGUUGCUUCGGCGGGCCCGCCUUAACUGGCCGCCGGGGGGCUUACGCCCCCGGGCCCGCGCCCGCCGAAGACACCCUCGAACUCUGUCUGAAGAUUGUAGUCUGAGUGAAAAUAUAAAUUAUUUAAAACUUUCAACAACGGAUCUCUUGGUUCCGGCAUCGAUGAAGAACGCAGCGAAAUGCGAUACGUAAUGUGAAUUGCAAAUUCAGUGAAUCAUCGAGUCUUUGAACGCACAUUGCGCCCCCUGGUAUUCCGGGGGGCAUGCCUGUCCGAGCGUCAUUUCUGCCCUCAAGCACGGCUUGUGUGUUGGGCCCCGUCCUCCGAUCCCGGGGGACGGGCCCGAAAGGCAGCGGCGGCACCGCGUCCGGUCCUCGAGCGUAUGGGGCUUUGUCACCCGCUCUGUAGGCCCGGCCGGCGCUUGCCGAUCAACCCAAAUUUUUAUCCAGGUUGACCUCGGAUCAGGUAGGGAUACCCGCUGAACUUAAGCAUAUCAAUAAGCGGAGGAAAAGAAACCAACAGGGAUUGCCCCAGUAACGGCGAGUGAAGCGGCAAGAGCUCAAAUUUGAAAGCUGGCUCCUUCGGGGUCCGCAUUGUAAUUUGUAGAGGAUGCUUCGGGAGCGGUCCCCAUCUAAGUGCCCUGGAACGGGACGUCAUAGAGGGUGAGAAUCCCGUAUGGGAUGGGGUGUCCGCGCCCGUGUGAAGCUCCUUCGACGAGUCGAGUUGUUUGGGAAUGCAGCUCUAAAUGGGUGGUAAAUUUCAUCUAAAGCUAAAUAUUGGCCGGAGACCGAUAGCGCACAAGUAGAGUGAUCGAAAGAUGAAAAGCACUUUGAAAAGAGAGUUAAAAAGCACGUGAAAUUGUUGAAAGGGAAGC